ACUCAAAUGAAUUGACGGGGGCCCGCACAAGCGGUGGAGCAUGUGGUUUAAUUCGACGCAACGCGAAGAACCUUACCUGGGCUCGAACGGCUUUGGCAAGCUCUUGGAAACAGGGGCCCUCCCGCAAGGGACUGAAGUCGAGGUGCUGCAUGGCUGUCGUCAGCUCGUGUCGUGAGAUGUUGGGUUAAGUCCCGCAACGAGCGCAACCCUUGUCCUGUGUUGCUAACCCGAAAGGGUGCACUCUCAGGAGACCGCCAGGGAUAACCUGGAGGAAGGUGGGGAUGACGUCAAGUCAUCAUGGCCUUUAUGUCCAGGGCUACACACGUGCUACAAUGGACGGUACAAACCGUCGCAAACCCGCGAGGGGGAGCAAAUCGGAAAAAACCGUUCUCAGUUCGGAUUGCAGGCUGCAACCCGCCUGCAUGAAGCUGGAAUCGCUAGUAAUGGCAUAUCAGAACGAUGCCGUGAAUACGUUCCCGGGCCUUGUACACACCGCCCGU
rnacentral:rRNA from 1 species